rnacentral:rRNA from 1 species
CACGUAGGCGGACCGAUAAGUCGGGGGUGAAAUCCUGGAGCUCAACUCCAGAACUGCCUCCGAAACUGCCGGCCUUGAGUUCGGGAGAGGUGAGUGGAACUGCGAGUGUAGAGGUGAAAUUCGUAGAUAUUCGCAAGAACACCAGUGGCGAAGGCGGCUCACUGGCCCGAUACUGACGCUGAGGUGCGAAAGCGUGGGGAGCAAACA